UCUAUAUACCACUCGUAGGUGGGGGGAAAAAAAAAGAAAAAAAAAAAAAAAUUAUGUUGACUACACAUAGAGCCGAUUCCUUCUGCCCUUACGUUUAGAGCCGUGGUGUCUCAUUUCUGACGACUUUACAGCGUCGUAAUUAAACAGUCGCGAAAACAAGGGAGGCUUGGUGCAGCCACCGGGACACUGUAAUUAACCGCUGCUUUCCUCUUUUUUCAGCUCUGCAGUUGACACAGCUUUUGUUUCUGCCGGGUCGCGGACACGGGGAUGAAAGUCACUUCUUCCACCCUGCACAGGAGGCCGACAAAAUGAUGACGGACGAGCAGAAACUCGCACGCACGAUUCGUUACGUCGUGGAAAAUCCGUUUGUGGCAAAUCAUUGUAAUCCCGUGUAAGGCUCCAUUUCCGGAGUUUCACCACUGACGUUCACUCGAAGUUUGAAAAAAAAUUGUCCUUUUAAAGCGAUACUAGAUCACUGAUCUCCCUCAACCUUCCUGCUUAAUCACAAUGCCAACCAAAUCUAGAGGGCCUCCCAAGGAAAGAAGCUGUUUAAAUAAUGUCAUGAAGCGCUCGUGUUUUGUAUGGCGUAACGCGGCAGCGUUGUGGAAAGAGGACCGAGGAAAGAGUCAAGGUGCGGGCGUCGGGCUAAUUGGCAUUGAUGAAUGACGAGUGCCGAUGACGCGUCGAAAUUAAUGGCGGCCCGACCCCGCCCUGCCCACCCCCCGCGGAGGGGCGAUAUGUUGCCGUGCCCGGCGAGGUGUCUUCCAGGUGGCGGUGUUAAUCCCUCGCAAUUAACGGCAGGAAUAACAUACUCGCGACUUAACGACGUGGAGUUGAUGGAACAUGUCCUGAGGGGUACUCCAGUUCAAAAUCCACCCCCACCUCAUUUUUUUGGAGCGUGAUCGUGCGGACGAAAAAGGAACGAGGCUCUUGCAAGACAUGUAUGAUGUGCAUGUCGCUUGUGAUGUGGCGUAUCAGUCUUAUCCCGGUAUUUGCUCUUUUUUUUUUUUUUUCAAGCAAUAACGUUUUUUCAACUCUUUUCAUCUUUGAAUGAGAAGACAAUACAAAGUGCCCUCACCCGAAAUGAGAAAAGUGCAUACAGGGUUAUUCAUCAGUCACGCACCAUCUGGCCAUGAGGGAGGUGGCCAUUUCAAAUUUUUGAAUUGCCCCCGCUACCCUCCCACAAAGGGGAUCAAAAAUUGAAAAGUACCUGCAAAAGUUUCCCCCUCGAUAUAAGGGAAAACGUCGUAAACCGCAAGUCUAUAUCAUAAUUAGAACUAAAGUCAUGGCCAGUUAUGCGUGACUUUUGAAUAAUCCUGUUUGUACAAUAUUUGGUGCAAUGCUAUAUCUAAAAUAUGGAUACAUCGUUAUACAAUCUGUACAGUAUAUAAGAAGACCUAUUCUAAUAGAUUCUGCCCUUGUAUAAUUUGUAUUUACAUGCUGAUUGUUCAUAACUUGAUCGUUUACAGUACCAUUGUUAUUCCCAGCACCGUCCGCUAAGACACCGGGGGCCGGUAUUUGUUUAGAUCCCGAUUUUUUCAAAACCUUGCGACAUCUCAACGAAUGACGCCAACCGAGGGCACCCUUCUGUUGUUGCAUUCGACGAACCCGCAUAUUCGUAUUUCAAAUAAUGUUAUAAUUUCGGUCGUUGUAUUUAAAUUCUUUUUUUUAUUAUUAUUAAGCAUUUAUUGUGAACUUCUACACUUUAGAAUUUUACACAUUGUAACUAAAUUUAAAAAUUGAAGUGGGUGUUGCAAACAAUAGAGUAGUUUACAUAAUUUAUAA